AUUGAACGCUGGCGGCAGGCCUAACACAUGCAAGUCGAGCGGCAGCGGGAAAGUAGCUUGCUACUUUUGCCGGCGAGCGGCGGACGGGUGAGUAAUGCCUGGGGAUCUGCCCAGUCGAGGGGGAUAACUACUGGAAACGGUAGCUAAUACCGCAUACGCCCUACGGGGGAAAGCAGGGGACCUUCGGGCCUUGCGCGAUUGGAUGAACCCAGGUGGGAUUAGCUAGUUGGUGAGGUAAUGGCUCACCAAGGCGACGAUCCCUAGCUGGUCUGAGAGGAUGAUCAGCCACACUGGAACUGAGACACGGUCCAGACUCCUACGGGAGGCAGCAGUGGGGAAUAUUGCACAAUGGGGGAAACCCUGAUGCAGCCAUGCCGCGUGUGUGAAGAAGGCCUUCGGGUUGUAAAGCACUUUCAGCGAGGAGGAAAGGUUGGUAGCUAAUAACUGCCAGCUGUGACGUACUCGCAG
rnacentral:rRNA from 54 species